rnacentral:rRNA from 1 species
GAUGAACGCUGGCGGCGUGCCUAAUACAUGCAAGUCGAGCGAACAGACGAGGAGCUUGCUCCUCUGACGUUAGCGGCGGACGGGUGAGUAACACGUGUAUAACCUACCUAUAAGACUGGGAUAACUUCGGGAAACCGGAGCUAAUACGGGAUAAUAUAUUGAACCGCAUGGUUCAAUAGUGAAAGACGGUUUUGCUGUCACUUAUAGAUGGAUCCGCGCCGCAUUAGCUAGUUGGUAAGGUAACGGCUUACCAAGGCAACGAUGCGUAGCCGACCUGAGAGGGUGAUCGCCCACACUGGAACUGAGACACGGUCCAGACUCCUACGGGAGGCAGCAGUAGGGAAUCUUCCGCAAUGGGCGAAAGCCUGACGGAGCAACGCCGCGUGAGUGAUGAAGGUCUUCGGAUCGUAAAACUCUGUUAUUAGGGAAGAACAAAUGUGUAAGUAACUAUGCACGUCUUGACGGUACCUAAUCAGAAAGCCACGGCUAACUACGUG